AUGUUCAUAAUUUAACUGUAAUGUGUAUUUUCUAAGUGUACUAAUUAUUAUUGUUGUAAUGUUUCAUGCGUGCAAUAUUUCGUCUUUUAUUUUGAAGUCCAAGCUCACGUCUCGUUAUGCUGUUCUCGCGUGAGUUAGAGAGCGAGAACAUGAGAAGCACCCUCAGAGUAAGAUGCACGGAUACUUAAAGCUCCGUUAGUUUUGUAUUCUUAUACAUAUAAGUUGUGAAGAGAACUGAAGAAUACUUCCCUCUGUUUACAGAGCAUGCAGCCCAACGAGGUGUUGUUGCAGCUGGCCCAGGGGAGAACGGUGUGGAAGGAGGAGAAGAGGUAGAGGAAGGCCCAAGCCAGGAUGACAAUAUUCAUCUCUGGAUAACUUGCUGGCUCCAUCAGGACAGAUCUGUGGUGAGAAAUUAUUCGGUUUUCAGCUGUUGCAUUUAAUACUUAACUGUGUCUGCGUAUGUUAACAGUGCAUUACGUAUAGAGUGCAUUACAAGAAAACUGGGGAGUUCCAUUUGAUCUUAGAACGGCAACCUCAAUUGGAAUUUUUAAAAGUAAAUUAAAGACCCAUCUUUUUAAUUUGGCUUAUCAUUUUUAGUAGUAUCACUGUACAUGUUUUAUUGUUUUAAUGUUUUUACAUAUUUUAAUUAUGUUCCUCAUUUGUUAUUGUCAUUAUUUGUGUCAUACUCAGUAAAGCACUUUGGGCUGUGUCAAGCAUGAAAGGUGCUAUAUAAAUAAAGUUUAUUAUUAUUAUUUAAAAAAAAUUGUUUAUUUAUGUCCAACGACUUCCAAGCACUAAAAAAAUCUAAAACUCUACCAUAGUGCAAAUGUCCUUUUUAUCUGCUGCGCAAAAGUUUGGUGACCUGCAGGUCGAAUCCUAAAACUGUUGAUGUCCAAAUAUUUCAACCAAUGUAGUCCGAUGUUAACAAGCACAUUCUUUUUAUAUACCAAUAUUUUUGAAAUACUAACUCUCUCUGUGCGCACAGACAAUUUCACAUGAUGUAUAUAAAUAUGAUAGUGUGCUCAGUAGAGUGCAGAUGUAUAGCUUUUUUAAUCUAAAUAAGUGAAGGGCUGACCAAUGUUUUCACAUGAUGGGUUCCUUCAAGUUGGAAUACAUAAAUAUUAUAAGCAUUACCAAGUUUGGUCCCAGCUUUCUCACGUAAUCCCAGCACAGAUUAUUUUGCCAUGAAUUGCAUGGCAGUAGAAAAGGCAAAGAAAGUCUAGGAACUGGUACAAGAUACAUGCAUUGCACCUAACAAUCAUCACUACCUCAGUUUAGCGGUACAUUUAAUUGAUGACAAAUAGCAACUUCACUCAUUUGCUUUAGGUGUGGUGAAAACGGAGGAAAGGCAUUUUUGCUGAAGCGUGAGCCGCACAGUUCCACAAGAGUGGGACAUAGCGGACAAGGUCACCACUGUAGGAACAGAUAGUGCUCGUAAUAUGACAUACAAGCAUAUGCCCUGUGUAGCACAGAUUAUACAGAUGGGAUUUAGAUCUUUCUGUGACAAUGUUUUAGCUAAG